UACGGGGGGGGGCAAGCGUUGUUCGGAAUUACUGGGCGUAAAGGGCUCGUAGGCGCCAACUAAGUCAGACGUGAAACCCUCGGCUUAACCGGGGAACUGCAUCUGAUACUGGAUGGCUUGAGUUCGGGAGAGGGAUGCGGAAUUCCAGGUGUAGCGGUGAAAUGCGCAGAUAUCAGGAGGAACACCGGUGGCGAAGGCGCCACUCUGGGCCGGUACUGACGCUGAGGAGCGAAAGCGUGGGUAGCAAACAGG
rnacentral:rRNA from 1 species